rnacentral:rRNA from 1 species
UGAGGAAUCUUGCGCAAUGGGGGAAACCCUGACGCAGCAACGCCGCGUGAGUGAGGAAGGUCUUCGGAUCGUAAAGCUCUGUCAGUUGGGAAGAAAUGCCCGUUGGUUAAUACCCUUCAGGCUUGACGGUACCAACAGAGGAAGCACCGGCUAACUCCGUGCCAGCAGCCGCGGUAAUACGGGGGGUGCAAGCGUUGUUCGGAAUUAUUGGGCGUAAAGAGCGGGUAGGCGGCCUGAUGUGUCAGAUGUGAAAGCCCGGGGCUUAACCCAGGAAGUGCAUUUGAAACUGUCAGGCUAGAGUAGGGGAGAGGGAAGUGGAAUUCCUGGUGUAGAGGUGAAAUUCGUAGAUAUCAGGAGGAACACCGGUGGCGAAGGCGACUUCCUGGCCCUAUACUGACGCUGAGACGCGAGAGCGUGGGUAGCAAACA